rnacentral:rRNA from 1 species
CCUACGGGUGGCAGCAGUGGGGAAUAUUGGACAAUGGGGGAAACCCUGAUGCAGCGACGCCGCGUGAGUGAAGAAGUACCUCGUUACGUAAAGCUCUAUCAGCACGGAAGAAAAUGACGGUACCUGAGUAAGAAUCCCCGUCUAACUACGUGCCAGCAGCCGCGGUAAUACGGAGGGGGCAAGCGUUAUCCGGAUUUACUGGGUGUAAAGGGGGCGUAGACGGUUCGCGAAGUCUGGAGUGAAAUGCCGUAGCUUAACUACGGAACUGCUGUGGAAACUGGAGAACUUGAGUGCGGGGGGGGCAAGCGGAAUUCGUGGUGUAGCGGUGAAAUGCUUAGAUAUCAGGAAGAACACCGAUGGCGAAGGCGGCUUACUGGACCGUAACUGACGUUGAAGCUCGAAAGCGUGGGGAUCAAACAGGAUUAGAUACCCCAGUAGUC